GGGUCAGUAGGUUGGUCGUGCCACCGGUACGUACUGGCCUCACUGAUUCCUCCUUCCUGAAGAACCGUAAUGCCAUUAAUUUGGUGUUGCGGGGAAACAGGACUGUUACUUUGAAAAAAUUAGAGUGUUUAAAGCAAGCUAACGCUUGAAUACAUUAGCAUGGAAUAAUGAAAUAGGACGAUCGAUCCUAUUUUGUUGGCUUCUAGGAUUGACGUA
rnacentral:rRNA from 1 species